rnacentral:rRNA from 1 species
UACGUAGGGUGCGAGCGUUAAUCGGAAUUACUGGGCGUAAAGCGUGCGCAGGCGGCGCGUUAAGACAGGUGUGAAAGCCCCGAGCUUAACUUGGGAAUUGCGCUUGUGACUGGCGUGCUGGAGUGUGGCAGAGGGAGGUGGAAUUCCACGUGUAGCAGUGAAAUGCGUAGAGAUCGGGAGGAACAUCAGUUGCGAAGGCGGCUCUCUGGACCAGCACUGACACUGAGGCACGAAAGCGUGGGGAGCAAACAGG